UACGUAGGGUGCGAGCGUUGUCCGGAAUUACUGGGCGUAAAGAGCUCGUAGGUGGUUUGUCGCGUUGUUCGUGAAAUUCCCUGGCUUAACUGGGGGCGUGCGGGCGAUACGGGCAGACUGGAGUACUGCAGGGGAGACUGGAAUUCCUGGUGUAGCGGUGGAAUGCGCAGAUAUCAGGAGGAACACCGGUGGCGAAGGCGGGUCUCUGGGCAGUAACUGACGCUGAGGAGCGAAAGCGUGGGGGGCGAACAGG
rnacentral:rRNA from 1 species